AGCCUGAACGCUGGCGGCGUGGCUAAGACAUGCAAGUCGUACGGGGUCCGCAAGGAUCCAGUGGCGAACGGGUGAGUAAAGUAUCGCUAACGUACCCCUAUGUCCGGGAUAGCUGGGGGAAACUCCAGGUAAUACCGGGUGACAUCACUUUCUCGCAUGAGAAGGUGCUCAAAGGGAAACCGCAAAGGGAGCGGGCGAUAUCGUAUCAGCUAGUUGGUGAGGUAACGGCUCACCAAGGCUAUGACGCGUAGCCGGACUGAGAGGUCGGACGGCCACAUUGGGACUGAGACACUGCCCAGACUCCUACGGGGGGCUGCAGUAACGAAUCUUCCGCAAUGCACGCAAGUGUGACGGAGCGACGCCGCGUGUGGGACGAAGUCCUUCGGGAUGUAAACCACUGUCAGGGGUUACCAAGUUCUGAGGAACCCGAGAGGAAGGCACGGCUAACUCUGCGCCAGCAGCCGC
rnacentral:rRNA from 1 species